AUGGAAGUGAUGACUCUUUCCCCAACUGCUCGACUCUGAAGAAACUAAGCUUUUAUAGUUUCUCUACGGAGAAUUCAAGCCAAGAAACUGAUCCAU